UGAUCCAAGUCAGGGUGUCUGUUGGAC
rnacentral:piRNA from 1 species